CUAAAAUGGGCUGCCUGGCUGGGGAUGCUGCUGAGAGGGCUUGGGUACAGAAUGUAAACUGACACUUCUGUUAGCACAGCAAACCAGUGAUCGGUAUCCAUGCCAGAAUUUCAGGUGCAAAUGGAGUAGUUUCCAUGGACCUGCUACAAGCCAUGCACUACAGACUCAAUCCAUGGACUGCAAGUUAGCAUUUGGCAUUGUACUAAAACUCCCA